GCUGUCGUCGCUUGGGCCAUUGCGAGAGGGCUUUAAAGUAUUUCAGGAAUAGGAACCUGGAAGCGUUCAGCUUUGUCAAUUUUUUUCAGAUUGAGGUAAUAUUUUAUUAAAAUACUUUUCUCAAAUUCUUGACACGAUCUUGACAUCUCAAGUACACAAUAUUCUCAAAUAUUUUCACCGGUAAUGAACCAACAAUUUUUUCCCACUUGAACUGCCACUUCGCCAAAAAUAAAAGUGUUUAAAAUUCCUUUCUUCAUUACCUGCAUUUGGCCAUUCUUUGAAGAAAUCAAUACAGUUGGAUUAUCAUAGCCGACUAAUUCCAGGGUGUUCGUACAUACGUAAAUAUUUGUACAUAAUUGGCCAGCUAUGACUUCUUAAAGGCUUGAGUACUUGAGUAAAUAAAAAUGUUUAUUCAAAAGCGUUCUGAAUUCGGGACAUUAAAAAUCUAGCGAUGUGGCUGAAAAAAAGGGGGAUUUCACGAUGUGGGCGCCCCAAAUCCCUGAGAGAUUUUCGCUCGGGUCGGCUCCUCUGCGGCAGAACGGCUUGGCUAGUUGAAUUCAAACGGACUUGGCUCAAUGUUAAACCAGGAGCGACCAUCCAGCUAAUUUAAUUAUUGAAAGAGCGAUGCCGCAGACAAAAAUACACAGCAGCAGCCCUUUGGUAUAAGUCGGGUGGAUCUAUAGUCUUAUCAAGUGAAUGGGUCGAUGAGAUUGAUGAUGCCUUGUUCUCCUUAGCUCUUAAGAAGCUAAUUAUUAUUAUUACCAAAGGCAGAGAAACUAACUUAGUGGGUAUGGCACUGGCAGUGGCUUUUGGCGAUUAAGUGCAAUAGUUUUGGAGGUUUUGCAGCUUCGCUGCAGGUCUAUGAGCAGGUGAGAUUCUAGAA